UACGUAGGGGGCAAGCGUUGUCCGGAUUUACUGGGCGUAAAGAGCGUGUAGGCGGCCACGCAGGUCCGUUGUGAAAACUGGAGGCUCAACCUCCAGCUGUCGACGGAAACCGUGUGGCUAGAGUCCGGAAGAGGAGAGUGGAAUUCCUGGUGUAGCGGUGAAAUGCGCAGAUAUCAGGAGGAACACCGGUGGCGAAGGCGGGUCUCUGGGCCGAUACUGACGCUGAGGAGCGAAAGCGUGGGGAGCGAACAGG
rnacentral:rRNA from 1 species